rnacentral:rRNA from 1 species
AGUGAACGCUGGCGGCAGGCCUAACACAUGCAAGUCGAACGGCAGCACAGUAAGAGCUUGCUCUUACGGGUGGCGAGUGGCGGACGGGUGAGGAAUACAUCGGAAUCUACUUUUUCGUGGGGGAUAACGUAGGGAAACUUACGCUAAUACCGCAUACGACCUACGGGUGAAAGCAGGGGAUCUUCGGACCUUGCGCGAUUGAAUGAGCCGAUGUCGGAUUAGCUGGUUGGCGGGGUAAAGGCCCACCAAGGCGACGAUCCGUAGCUGGUCUGAGAGGAUGAUCAGCCACACUGGAACUGAGACACGGUCCAGACUCCUACGGGAGGCAGCAGUGGGGAAUAUUGGACAAUGGGCGCAAGCCUGAUCCAGCCAUACCGCGUGGGUGAAGAAGGCCUUCGGGUUGUAAAGCCCUUUUGUUGGGAAAGAAAAGCAGCAGGUUAAUACCCCGCUGUUCUGACGGUACCCAAAGAAUAAGCACCGGCCAACUUCGUG